rnacentral:rRNA from 1 species
CAGGUAGUUGGUGAGGUAAAGGCUCACCAAGCCUACGAUCCAUAGCUGGUCUGAGAGGAUGAUCAGCCACACUGGGACUGAGACACGGCCCAGACUCCUACGGGAGGCAGCAGUAGGGAAUCUUGCGCAAUGGGCGAAAGCCUGACGCAGCCAUGCCGCGUGAAUGAUGAAGGUCUUAGGAUUGUAAAAUUCUUUCACCGGGGAAGAUAAUGACGGUACCCGGGGAAGAAGCCCCGGCUAACUUCGUGCCAGCAGCCGCGGUAAUACGAAGGGGGCUAGCGUUGCUCGGAAUUACUGGGCGUAAAGGGCGCGUACGCGGAUAUCUAAGUUGGGGGUGAAAGCCCGGGGCUCAACCU